CAAUAGCGUAUAUUAAAGUUGUUGCAGUUAAAAAGCUCGUAGUUGGAGUUCAGAGUGAGCUCGUCCGGUCGGCCUUAUGGGUCAGAACUGGUUGACUCUCUCUUGUUUGUGGAUCCUGUCAGCAGUUAACUCUGUUGAUGUGGAGUCCACAUCGUUUACCUUGAAAAAAUUAGAGUGUUCAAAGCAGGCGUUUGCUUGAAUAUAUUAGCAUGGAAUAAUAAGAUAGGACUUUGAGUCUAUUUUGUUGGUUUGCGAGUCAAAGUAAUGAUUAAUAGGGACAGUUGGGGGUAUUCGUAUUUCAUUGUCAGAGGUGAAAUUCUUGGAUUUCUGAAAGACGAACUACUGCGAAAGCAUUUACCAAGGAUGUUUUCAUUAAUCAAGAACGAAAGUUAGGGGAUCGAAGACGAUUAGAUACCAU
rnacentral:rRNA from 1 species